AUUUGUCCAUCAUCUCACGCCCCUACACCCGAGCCCAGAAGAGACCCAUCGCCCAAAUUUGAUCUCCCCCCACCUCGUUCUCUCUCGCUCCCUCGCUCUAUCGCUCUCUACAUUUCAAAAGCAGGGAAUUGGAUCUAUCUAUUGCCAUGAUCAACUAGAUCAUAUAUAUAUAUAUACACACACAGUUAUAGAUUCAUAUAUAAGGAUAGAUUCAUAUAUAGGUGAAAAUGGACUCGGUCUCGAUCCGGGUGCCUUACAAGAAUCUGAGACAGGAAGUAGAAUUGGUGGGUUUGGAGGAAGCUCAACCUCAUCAUCAUCAGAUUGAGGUUGAUGAGAAAUCAAGGUUUUCAAAUGGAAUCGACUCCGAUCUGCCUUCCAGUUCUUCUCCCUCUCAUCCCCCACCGAAGCAUGCCGCUUUGGCGACCUUGAUUCUCAGUUGCACCGUCGCCGCCGGUGUUCAAUUCGGUUGGGCUUUGCAACUCUCUCUUCUCACUCCUUACAUUCAGACGCUUGGAAUACAACAUGCUUUUUCUUCAUUUAUCUGGCUUUGUGGCCCUAUUACAGGCCUUGUGGUUCAACCUUGUGUAGGUAUUUGGAGUGAUAAAUGCACUUCCAAAUAUGGAAGAAGACGCCCGUUUAUUCUUGUUGGAUCUGUCAUGAUCUCAGCUGCUGUGAUAAUAAUUGGUUUUUCAGCAGACAUUGGAUAUAUCUUAGGGGACACAAAGGAGCAUUGCAGCACAUACAAAGGUACUCGAACAAGGGCAGCUUUAGUCUUCAUCAUUGGGUUUUGGAUGCUAGAUCUUGCUAAUAAUACUGUGCAGGGCCCUGCACGUGCUCUUCUGGCUGAUUUGUCGGGACCGGAACAACGAAAUUCUGCAAAUGCUAUAUUUUGCUCAUGGAUGGCUGUUGGAAACAUCCUAGGGUUCUCUGCUGGCGCUAGUGGAAAUUGGAACAGGUGGUUUCCUUUCCUGAAAAGUAGAGCCUGCUGUGAUGCCUGUGGAAAUCUUAAGGCAGCAUUUCUAGUUGCAGUGGUUUUCCUUACUUUAUGUACACUGGUGACCCUCUAUUUUGCAAAGGAGGUUCCAUUAACACCAAUACAUCCUCACCGUUUAUCAGAUUCUGCUCCUCUCUUGGAUGGUUCUCAACAGAUGGUCUCUGACCUUUCAAAAUCUCAGCCUGAUACAUAUGUAGUUAACAAUGCUUUGGGCAACAAGUCGGGGAGUAGUUAUGAAAUGGAUAGAAAUUUAAAGAAGCCAGACUCAAACAAUGAGAAAGACCAAAGUGAAAGUUUCAGUGAUAGCCCCGGAGCAGUCUUGGUCAAUUUGUUAACCAGCUUAAGGCAUUUACCACCAGCCAUGCAUUCAGUACUUAUUGUCAUGGCUCUUACCUGGUUGGCCUGGUUUCCCUUUUUCCUUUUCGAUACGGAUUGGAUGGGGAGAGAAGUUUAUCAUGGGAACCCAAAAGGAGAUGUCUCUGAAGUUGAAGCUUAUGAUCAAGGUGUCAGAGAAGGUGCAUUCGGUUUGCUAUUGAAUUCAGUUGUUCUUGGCAUUAGCUCUUUCUUGAUUGAGCCAAUGUGUCAGUGGAUGGGUGCAAGACUUGUUUGGGCAAUUAGCAAUUUUAUAGUGUUUGCUUGCAUGGCUUGCACUGCUAUAAUCAGUUUGGUUUCAGUGAGAGAGUAUUCCAACGGGAUUCAGCAUGUAAUUGGAGGAAAUGAAGCAAUUAAGAUUGCCUCCUUGGUGGUUUUUGCUCUUCUUGGCUUUCCUCUUGCUAUCACUUAUAGUGUUCCCUUCUCUGUUACCGCGGAGUUGACUGCUGAUUCAGGAGGUGGUCAAGGCUUGGCCAUAGGGGUCCUAAAUCUUGCAAUUGUCAUACCUCAGAUGGUUAUAUCCCUUGGUGCGGGUCCAUGGGAUGCUCUAUUUGGUGGAGGAAAUAUACCUGCAUUUGUUUUGGCUUCCUUGAGUGCCUUUGCAGCUGGGGUUAUUGCAACUCUUAAGCUGCCAGACCUUUCGAACAAUUUCAAACCAUCUGGUUUCCAUUUUGGCUGACUUGCUUUCUCCGUGAGAUGACCAACUUGUAUAUGAUCCUCUACCAUGAGAACAAAUCCAGGCGAUUUACUUUCCAGAGAAAUGGCUGCUACGAGAGAGGAAUUGGGAGGUGUCACCUGUUCUCUCUGAUGGAAGCCUCUGUUCGUCAUUAUCGAAGACUCAAUGUUUGGUUCUCACCUUCUCAACUGUGGCAGUUUCUUUGUAGAUCUGUCGAGUUUUUUUUAUGAGUACUUAGAACUACAACAAAUAUCCAACCUUAGCACGAGAUCUUUUAUUUUCAAAUCUCUCAAUUUUAGCGUCUUUAAUGCACUCUUAAUCAUUGAAUUAUGUCUUGAAUUUUACAUAUUUUAAGAUUUUUGCACAACUCAA